rnacentral:rRNA from 1 species
CCUACGGGCGGCAGCAGUGAGGAAUAUUGGUCAAUGGGCGCGAGCCUGAACCAGCCAAGUAGCGUGAAGGAUGACUGCCCUACGGGUUGUAAACUUCUUUUAUAAAGGAAUAAAGUGAGGCACGUGUGCCUUUUUGCAUGUACUUUAUGAAUAAGGAUCGGCUAACGCCGUGCCAGCAGCCGCGGUAAUACGGAGGAUCCGAGCGUUAUCCGGAUUUAUUGGGUUUAAAGGGUGCGUAGACGGGUUGUUAAGUCAGAUGUGAAAGUUUGGGGCUCAACCGUAAAAUUGCAAUUGAGACUGGCAGUCUUGAGGACGGGUGAGGUAGGCGGAAUGCGUGGUGUAGCGGUGAAAUGCUUAGAUAUCACGAAGAACCCCGAUUGCGAAGGCAGCUUACUAAACUGUGACUGACAUUGAUGCUCGAAAGUGUGGGGAUCAAACAGGAUUAGAUACCCCUGUAGUC